rnacentral:lncRNA from 15 species
UGACACAUAAUUUAUCACAGGAACAGAGUCAUUCCUUUUAACAUGCACCACUUCACAGACUCUGACAGUCAGUUCCUGAGAAAAGACAUAAAGAAGACUGAAGCACGAUGGUUGAAUCAAGAUGGAUUAAAAUGUCUUUAUUUCUGAUGCUGCUGCUUCACUUUACAGCAGUGACUGAACAACUCUACCCCCGUAUUGUUGUCAGAGUUGGAGAUGAAGUCACUUUGCCUUGUGACAAUGUGAGAGAUUAUCAGGACAAAUGUCAGCGUACUUCGUGGCUCUUUGUUGGUUCAGGAAACACAACGUCAAAACUUCUGAUUGACCGUGGACAGAUUGGUGAAAACAGCAACUCUAAAUCAGACAGACUGAGUGUUACAGCGAACUAUUCUCUGGUUAUAAAGGUCACAGCCGAGGAUGUUGGUCAAUACACCUGCAGACAGUUCAAUGAUACAGGACAUCAACAAGGUCCAGACUCUCACGUUGAUCUGUCUGUUAUUACCAUGACUGAACAUAAGGACUCUGAUAAGGUGACAUUAGGCUGCUCUGUGUUGACUGACAGAGGGUGUGAACACAGAGUGAAGUGGCUGAAUCAGGGUGAAGAUCUGGAUAAAGAUAAUGAAGACAGGGACACAUCAGAGCCUAAGUGCUCAGUUACUGUGACAUUUCCUACUUCUGAUCUUAACCUGAAGUCAGAGCAUCGUGAGUUGUUUAAGUGUGAAGUGACUGAUCUUUUUGUUCAACCAGAGCAGCAGUUUACCUUCAGCCUUCAGUCCUCAGGUCAGAAACCAGGUAAGGAUAUGUAUGCAGCAAAAACCAGAUCCACAUAUAUAUCAACAACAGCACCGACGACGACAACAACAACAACAACAACAACAACAACAUCAACAACAACAACAACAUCUUCAACAACAGCAUCUUCAACAACAACGGUAGAAGGUAAGAAACAAAGACAUUUACUCAUAUGUAUUCAACAUAAAACAACUCUAGGAGUUCUGAAUGUAAUGUACUGUAUAUGCACAAAUGCUGUAGAUAGGAUUAACAAACCAUGUUUACAUCAGCAACUAUAUCUCUAAAUCUCAACAACAAAGUCAGAUGGCUUCGUCCUCAGAGGAUCAUGACUAUAUACCUUUAGAGACAGUCCAUUCUAUAGUUGUUAAGAUGUUUAAGUCUGGACCAAAGUGAUGGACUGACUGACAGAAACUGUCAUCUCCAGAGCCAUGUCACUAACUUUGUUAAGCACAUAUGUUGUGCGUCGGAUUUGUUGAUAAUAACUUUAUUCACUGACAUUAUUUUUCUGUUGCACAGCUCGUACAGAUUGGUCUGUUCUGAACUACAUAAUGUUGGUUAUGCGUGUGGCUGAACUCCUCCUAAUUACUGUGAUUACUGUUCUUCUCAUCAGAGCUCGAGGUGAGAACAUUCAGACCAACAUUUGUUUACACUGAUUAACACAAACUGUAAGUUUAGAGCUGAAAUGUUACUCUGUGCUUUAUUUUCCAGGAAACCAGAGACCACCUGAUGACAGCACUGUGAGUUGAGAAUAAAAACUGAAGUGAACCCAUGUGUAACAAUAAAAAUGUAUAUGAAUGAUCAGAGACUGUAAGUCAGUGUAAAUGAUGAUAAGCUGCUGCUGGGAACUGUUCAUGUUACUGUAAUGCAGGACUGUGAAUGUCUCACUGUUUGUGUUUGUGCAGGUUUUAAACUCAGUAAGAAGCCGAGCAGUGAGGCGUUCAGGUCCAGCAGCCAGUCAGGCAAAGAUCAGAUCAGACAGUAACUGGAGGAAAAUCUGGCAGUUUGGGGGAUUAUAACAAAAUUCAUGGACUGAAAACAUUUAUUUGUUCCAGUUAAACUGAAGUGUGUUGCUGUGUCUCACAGGUGCAUCAUGAUGGAGAUGGACAUGACGGCACAGUGAACUAUGAAAACGUUGGAGAGCCUUCUGCUUCUGUCAGACUCGACAACUUCCACACCAACAUCAACUCACCAGAGAAAUGAGUCCACUGCUGUUAAACAUUUUCCAGGGAACCAGAGACCACCUGAUGACAUCACUGUGAGUUGAAAAGUGAAGUGUAAAAUUAAAAAUAUAUACGAACGAUUGGACACAUAAGUCAGUGUAAAUGCUGGUGGGAACUGUUGUGUGAGGUCCACUUAAACAUUUCUUGACAGCAUUAUUUUACACAAAAACAUGAAUCAUAAUUUUAUUUUGAGGCUCUACAUGAGGUAUUGCUGAAUGUAUUGAUCAAGCAGAAUCCCCCAUGGCUUUCAAAUAAAGCCAACACAGAAGUAACAUAAACUACAGUUCCUUGAGCUGCCACUUGAAGCUGGCUUCAGAAGUGAUCAGGCCCCAUAUUUAAAAGUUUACAGCAGAAAUAAACAUGUUUACAACCUGGAGCACAGGUGCCUUGAGCUCCCAGUCCAUCAGGAGUUAGCAGCAACUAGUGGUUAGCUAAUAGCAACAAGUAAAGCUAAUGUAUCCAUCAGUAAACUCUGUAUAUCCCUGAGAGCGGAGGUAGAGAAGCUGCACAACAACACAACUGAAAACUAAAAAAGGACUUUCUGCAUCCAAAAUCUUGAAGGGUUACUCCUGAGCAGAGCAGUGGGAUAAGUUAGACAGACUAAUCACAUCCCUGUAAUUCAUGGGCAUAAUCAAAAAAGCACAAUAGGUCCCCUUUAAGAAGCUUGCUGUACUGUAUUUAAGAAUGUCUUUUCUUGCAUUUUGAAAAUGUUUCCUUUCUUUAGCCAGUUCAAUUCUAACAACUUUCUUAGGAUGACAUCCAUUUGAACUUAGGCCUGCUGGUUUUCUGUUUGUCUUUUAAUGUCAUAAGUAGCCUAGCCUAGCACAACCUCCCUUGUAUCACUGUGUGCAGAAGAACUCAUUUUAAUUAACUUUGAUAUAGAAUUGCUGUUUUCCAAUGUCCAAUAUGUUUUUGUAAUUUUAGUGGAGUAGGUUUAAAUGAGCUUUGAUUCUUAAAGUCUGUAACAGUGUCGUCUUCAUAUACACACUGUAAUCAAUUGAUGUGUUGUGUCUUUUAUAGUAAAAUAUAUCUGAGCUUUGAUUAGUAACAGUGUUGUGUUGAUUAUAACUGAUUGUAUGAUCUGCUGAAAAAAAACAUGUAUGUAUGUAUGUAUGUUAUAAUUAAUUGAUGUGUCAUGUAUUUUACAAUAAAAGGUGGAUAUCCAUAUUGAUUUUGGAGAGACCCUCUAUUAGUAUUAUUUUUUCUGAAUUGCCUUUUAUUCACAAAACGUAUUUUUCAAAAAAGAAAAUUGUCUCCAAGAACGGUUAUGCUGUUGUAGAAAACAAAUGGUUUUUUGAAAU